UACGUAGGUGGCAAGCGUUGUCCGGAUUUACUGGGCGUAAAGAGCGCGCAGGCGGUCGUUCAAGUCGCGUGUGAAAGCCCCCGGCUCAACUGGGGAGGGUCACGCGAUACUGAUCGACUCGAAGGCAGGAGAGGGUAGUGGAAUUCCCGGUGUAGUGGUGAAAUGCGUAGAUAUCGGGAGGAACACCAGUGGCGAAGGCGGCUACCUGGCCUGUUCUUGACGCUGAGGCGCGAAAGCUAGGGGAGCAAACGGG
rnacentral:rRNA from 1 species